rnacentral:snRNA from 1 species
AGCUUUGUGCAGUGGCAGUAUCAUAGCCAAUGAGGAGCAAUUAUUGCUAAUCAUUGCUAUGAUUAUUGCUCAGAUUAUUAUCUGAGGAGCGAUUAUUGCUAAUUGAAAACUUUUCACUGU